UGAGCCUGUAAAGAGAGCUGGAGCACAAAGCCCGGGCUGUGGGGCAGCCAGCUGAGUACCUUCUAUAGAAUAAGAUUCAUGUCCCCAGCAAGCAUGCACACUGGUUUGGGCUACAUCAGCACCAAGACAGUCCCUUGGUAAUUUUCUGUUGUGCCAAGGCUACUAACAGGUAUGAACUGCACCAUGCUUGAGCAGGUCCUCCUCAACAC
rnacentral:lncRNA from 1 species